rnacentral:rRNA from 1 species
UACGUAGGGGGCGUAGCGUUGUCCGGAUUUAUUGGGCGUAAAGAGCGUGUAGGCGGCCAGGUAGGUCUGCUGUGAAAACUCGAGGCUCAACCUCGAGACGUCGGCGGAAACCAUCUGGCUAGAGUCCGGAAGAGGAGAGUGGAAUUCCUGGUGUAGCGGUGAAAUGCGCAGAUAUCAGGAAGAACACCCGUGGCGAAGGCGGCUCUCUGGGACGGUACUGACGCUGAGACGCGAAAGCGUGGGGAGCGAACAGG